UCUUGCAGUCGCUUCCACGGCUGUCGGAAUGGCCCGCGGUGCUUUAGCUUGCUUGCUAGGGCACGGUGCGUUAAGGAGUGCGAUGUAGAUACAAACGCACAUCUGUCAGGACGGGAUCACGUAUCAUUAACGUAAUCAUGGAGCCGUUCUGCCGCAUCCGUUCCUGAUCUGGGAAGCACAGCGCAACCGUCCCAUCCCCCCGGGGAGCAGCAGUGCAGAUAUCAAAUACCUGUGAUAGAAUGGACCAAACAGACUGACGUGUGGCUGGGUGAUCACAUCUUGCAAAGCCUGGGCUGUGCUCUUACAGGAUGUUCAUACCAAUAUCGCUGGAAAUGAGUCACAUGUGUCAUAUAGUCACCCAUAAAAUGAUUUUGUUGCCAUAAAAUGUUUUGUCUGAUUAUAUGUGAAGGUAGUUGUAUGACGAGCAAGUGUGCUUCUUUAUUUUAAGGAGAAAGCCUUUAAGUGCCUCAUCAGAUGCUGGCCUUGAAAUAUGUGGCUUGCGGUACAGAAACUUGUGUGACCUUAAAAAAGAGGAUUUGUGCCAAAAUUGAACCCAGGCAUUAGGUGUAGCAGCCAAGCGUUCUGCCGUAGAGCCACGCCAGUGCCUGAAACUGUUUUGGAAAAAGACCCUAUACAGGCAUCGUGUCGGGUGAAGAGUCCUGUUAACACUUCUAAUAUUGCGUGGCAGAAGUGUGUAAUUGCACCAGG
rnacentral:lncRNA from 1 species